UACAGAGGUCUCAAGCGUUGUUCGGAAUCACUGGGCGUAAAGGGCGCGUAGGCGGCCCGCACAAGUCUGCGGUGAAAACCUCCGGCUUAACCGGGGGCCGGCCGUGGAAACUGUCGGGCUGGAGGCUGGGAGAGGGCAGCGGAAUUCCCGGUGUAGCGGUGAAAUGCGUAGAGAUCGGGAGGAACACCGGCGGCGAAGGCGGCUGCCUGGACCAGUCCUGACGCUGAGGCGCGAAAGCUAGGGGAGCAAACAGG
rnacentral:rRNA from 1 species